AGAGCGCAGGGUGGAUGCCUUGGCACUGAGAGCCGAAGAAGGACGCGGCAAGCUGCGAAAAGCUCCGGGGAGGCGCAAACAGCCCGAGAUCCGGAGAUAUCCGAAUGGGGAAACCCGCAUGGAAAGACUCCAUGCAUCCAUACGCCAAUCCAUAACGUAUGGAAGGGAACCGGGGGAACUGAAACAUCUAAGUACCCCGAGGAGAAGAAAGAAAACUCGAUUUCCGAAGUAGCGGCGAGCGAAAUGGAAAGAGCCCAAACCAUGGUGCGUGCACCAUGGGGUUACGGACUGCAUAAGGUAUUUGAAAGGAUAGCCGAAUGGUUUUGGGAAAGCCAUCCAGAGAGGGUGAAAGACCCGUAGGCGAAAUCCUUGAGAAGCCGGCAGGAUCCAGAGUACCACGAGACACGUGGAACCUUGUGGGAAGUCGGGGGGACCACCCCCCAAGGCUAAAUACUCCUCAGUGACCGAUAGCGCAUAGUACUGUGAAGGAAAGGUGAAAAGGACCCCGGGAGGGGAGUGAAAGAGAACCUGAAACCCUGUGUUUACAAGCUGUGGAAGUACUUUUUAUGUACGACCGCGUACUUUUUGUAGAACGGUCCGGCGAGUUGCGGAUGCUGGCAAGGUUAAGGAAUUUAGUUCCGGAGCCGAAGGGAAACCAAGUCUUAAGAGGGCGGCAAAGUCAGUAUACGCAGACCCGAAACCGGGUGAUCUACCCAUGUCCAGGUUGAAGCUGCCGUAAGAGGUAGUGGAGGACCGAACGCACAUCCGUUGAAAAGGGUGGCGAUGAGGUGUGGGUAGGGGAGAAAUUCCAAUCGAACCCGGAGAUAGCUGGUUCUCCUCGAAAUAGCUUUAGGGCUAGCCUCGGUAGAGAUUCACGGAGGUAGAGCACUGAAUUCCCGCGGGGGCGUCAAAGCUUACCAAAGGAUAUCAAACUCCGAAUGCCGUAGAAUUGCUUGCCGGGAGUCAGACCACACGAGAUAAGUUGGGUGGUCAAAAGGGAAAGAGCCCAGACCUGCAGCUAAGGUCCCAAAGUACGUGUUAAGUGGAAAAGGAUGUGGGAUUUCAAAGACAACCAGGAUGUUGGCUCAGAAGCAGCCACACAUUCAAAGAGUGCGUAAUAGCUCACUGGUCGAGAGGUCCUGCGCCGAAAAUGUCCGGGGCUGAAACACGACACCGAAGCUCAGGAAUGUAUAUAUACAUUGGUAGAGGAGCAUUGAAAGCGCGAAGAAGCAGUACCGUAAGGAGCUGUGGAGUGCUUUGAAGAGAGAAUGCCGGAAUGAGUAGCGAGAGAGAGGUGGGAAUCCUCUCGGCCGAAUAUCCAAGGUUUCCAGAGUAAAGCUGAUCUGCUCUGGGUAAGUCGGGGCCUAAGGCGAGGGCGGAAGCCGUAGCCGAUGGACAGCAGGUGGAGAUUCCUGCACUGCAGUAAGACAGAACUGUGGGGACAUAUGUGGAGAGCAUGGGCGCGGAAUGGAAAGCCGCGUGCAAGCGGGGUAGGAGCCAGGCUGGCAAAUCCGCCUGGCAAUCUGAAGACGUGAUGCGGACCGAAGCAUAAGUAGGGAAGCAUGUGAGCCAUGUAUCAAGAAAAGCCGCUAUUGUUCUUGCUGUACCCGUACCGUAAACCGACACAGGUGGAUGAGGAGAGAAUCCUAAGGCCGGCGGAAGAAGCAUUGUUAAGGAACUCGGCAAAAUGACCCCGUAACUUCGGGAGAAGGGGUGCCUGCUAACGCAGGCCGCAGAGAAUAGGCUCAAGCAACUGUUUAGCAAAAACACAGGUCUAUGCGAAACCGAAAGGUGAAGUAUAUGGGCUGACGCCUGCCCGGUGCUGGAAGGUUAAGAGGAGAGGUUAGCGCAAGCGAAGCUUUGAAUUUAAGCCCCAGUAAACGGCGGCCGUAACUAUAACGGUCCUAAGGUAGCGAAAUUCCUUGUCGGGUAAGUUCCGACCCGCACGAAAGGCGUAAUGAUUUGAGCGCUGUCUCGACAAUGCAUCCGGUGAAAUUGAAGUACCAGUGAAGAUGCUGGUUACCCGCGCCAGGACGGAAAGACCCCAUGGAGCUUUACUCCAGUUUGGUACUGGGAUUCGGCAGUGCAUGUACAGGAUAGGUGGGAGGCUUUGAAGCAGGGACGCCAGUUUCUGCGGAGCCGGUGUUGGGAUACCACCCUUGUGCUGCUGGGUUUCUAACCGGAGGCCGUGAACCGGCCACGGGACAAUGCCAGACGGGGAGUUUGACUGGGGCGGUCGCCUCCGAAAGGG
rnacentral:rRNA from 1 species